CGCACAUUGCGCCCUUUGGUAUUCCGAGGGGCACGCCUGUUCGAGCGUCAUUUAAACCAUCAAGCCUCGCUUGGUCUUGGACGCGGUCGAGUGACCCGUCCGUAACCCGUUGGCGGUGCAGUCCGGCUUCAAGCGUAGCAAGAAUUUCGCUUCAGGAGUCCGCGGCGGCGUCUGCCAGGAAAACACCAUCCAAAGUUUGACCUCGGAUCAGGUGAGGAUACCCGCUGAACUUAA
rnacentral:misc_RNA from 1 species